rnacentral:rRNA from 1 species
GUGCCAGCCGCCGCGGUAAUACGGAGGGUGCAAGCGUUAUCCGGAUUCACUGGGUUUAAAGGGUGCGUAGGUGGGUUGGUAAGUCAGUGGUGAAAUCUCCGUGCUUAACAUGGAAACUGCCAUUGAUACUACUGGUCUUGAAUUUUCUGGAGGUAAGCGGAAUAUGUCAUGUAGCGGUGAAAUGCUUAGAUAUGACAUAGAACACCAAUUGCGAAGGCAGCUUACUACAGGGACAUUGACACUGAGGCACGAAAGCGUGGGGAUCAAACAGGAUUAGAAACCCUCGUAGUCC